rnacentral:rRNA from 1 species
GACGAACGCUGGCGGCAGGCCUAACACAUGCAAGUCGAGCGAGACCUUCGGGUCUAGCGGCGGACGGGUGAGUAACGCGUGGGAACGUGCCCUUUUCUGCGGAAUAGCCUCGGGAAACUGAGCGUAAUACCGCAUACGCCCUUUGGGGGAAAGAUUUAUCGGAAAAGGAUCGGCCCGCGUUGGAUUAGGUAGUUGGUGGGGUAAUGGCCUACCAAGCCUACGAUCCAUAGCUGGUUUGAGAGGAUGAUCAGCCACACUGGGACUGAGACACGGCCCAGACUCCUACGGGAGGCAGCAGUGGGGAAUCUUAGACAAUGGGGGCAACCCUGAUCUAGCCAUGCCGCGUGAGUGAUGAAGGCCUUAGGAUUGUAAAGCUCUUUCAGCUGGGAAGAUAAUGACGGUACCAGCAGAAGAAGCCCCGGCUAACUCCGUG